CAGAAUCAGAUACUGUUUAGUUCUCUGAGCUCUUGACAGGAAGUUCCACCCCUGUCUCAGAUGAAGAGAAAGCCGCCAGUUUGGUGCCCUCUAUAUUCGCAUCAGGACUGCACAUGACCUGGGUGUCUGGGAAGAUCUUGAUGCCCAGGAAGAGGUGACUGGGGAUCUACUGGGAGGAACACUGGAAUGCGCGUCAGGAGCUCUUCCUGGGACUCAAUGCCUGGGCCAUCCCAGGGUUCCUCUCCCACCAUUUUAUUGUCUGGUUGGAUGUUACGGACAGUGUUCAUUGAGCUGGGAACAGAAGAAGCUGUACAUUCAUUUUACAAAUAUUUGUGGAGUGCCCACUUUGUGCCAGGCAUUGUUCAAGGUCAGGAGAAGCAGCAGUGAAGAAAACAGUCACAAAUUCCUGCCUUCCUGAAGCUUAUCUUCUGGUGGAUACUGAUUUUAAAUAUUGGAAAAUUACCCAUGGUGUUCAAAAAGAAAUUUAUUGGCGCUGUUCUAGAUGCAGUAGAUAUACUGGUAAACAAAGCAAGCAAAAAUUUCUUCCCUGCUACAGUUGUACUGGGAGUCAGUCUGAAAACUUGAACAUGGUGGACCCAAGUACUCCUUGAAUUAAAAGUUCAUUGACUAAAA